rnacentral:tRNA from 1 species
UCCUGGCUGGCUCAGUGGGUAGAGCAUGUGACUCUUGAUCUCAAGGCUGUGAGUUUGAGCCCGAUGUUGGGUG